CGUGUAGGCGGUCAGGUAAGUGGGACGUGAAAUGCCUCGGCUCACCCGAGGAGCUGCGUCCCAAACUGCUUGGCUUGAGUAUGGGAGAGGAUGUGGGAAUUCCUGGUGUAGCGGUGAAAUGCGUAGAUAUCAGGAGGAACACCGGUGGCGAAGGCGCACAUCUGGCCCAAUACUGACGCUGAGGCGCGAAAGCUAGGGAGCAAACG
rnacentral:rRNA from 1 species